rnacentral:rRNA from 1 species
AGAGUUUGAUCCUGGCUCAGAACGAACGCUGGCGGCGUGCUUAAUACAUGCAAGUCGAACGUGAAAGUCCUUCGGGAUGAGUAAAGUGGCGCACGGGUGAGUAACACGUAGGUGACCUGUCCUAUUAUGGGGGAUAACAGUAAGAAAUUACUGCUAAUACCGCAUAAGUAAUAGACGGUUGGAAACGACUAUUAGAAAGAUGGCCUCUAUUUAUAAGCUAUCGUGAUAGGAGGGGCCUGCGGACCAUUAGCUAGUUGGCGGGGUAAAGGCCCACCAAGGCGAUGAUGGUUAGCCGGUCUGAGAGGAUGAUCGGCCACACUGGAACUGAGACACGGUCCAGACUCCUACGGGAGGCAGCAGUAGGGAAUAUUGCGCAAUGGGGGUAACCCUGACGCAGCAACGCCGCGUGAGUGAGGAAGGCCUUCGGGUUGUAAAGCUCUGUCCUUAGGGAAAAAUGGUUUAUGUACUAAUAAUAUAUAAAUUUGAUGGUACCUUAGAAGAAAGCACCGGCUAACUUCGUGCCAGCAGCCGCGGUAAUACGAAGGGUGCAAGCGUUGUUCGGAUUUAUUGGGCGUAAAGGGCGUGUAGGCGGGUAAUUAAGUCAGGUGUGAAAUCUCGGGGCCUAACCCCGAAAGUGCGCCUGAAACUGGUUACCUAGAAUCUCGAAGGGGGAUAGGGAAUUUCGCAUGUAGGAGUAAAAUCCGUAGAGAUGCGAAGGAACACCCGGGGCGAAGGCGCUAUCCUGGUCGAGUAUUGACGCUAAGGCGCGAAAGCGUGGGGAUCAAACAGGAUUAGAUACCCUGGUAGUCCACGCUGUAAACGAUGGGCACUAGUUGUUGGUGUUGAAGAGACAUCAGCGACGCAGCUAACGCAUUAAGUGCCCCGCCUGGGGAGUACGGUCGCAAGAUUAAAACUCAAAGGAAUUGACGGGGGCCCGCACAAGCGGUGGAUUAUGUGGUUUAAUUCGAAGCAACGCGAAAAACCUUACCUGGGUUUGAAAUCCCACAAAUUCUGUAGAGAUAUGGAAGUGCCCUUCGGGGAAUGUGGUGACAGGCGCUGCAUGGCUGUCGUCAGCUCGUGUUGUGAAAUGUUGGGUUAAGUCUCGCAACGAGCGCAACCCUUAUCUUUAGUUGCCAGCAUUAAGUUGGGCACUCUAGAGAGACUGCCCGGGUUAACCGGGAGGAAGGUGGGGAUGACGUCAAGUCCUCAUGGCCCUUAUGUCCAGGGCUACACACGUAAUACAAUGGUCGGUAUAAAGGGAUGCGAGCAUGCGAAUGUAAGCCAAUCUCAAAAAGCCGAUCUCAGUCCGGAUUGGAGUCUGCAACUCGACUCCAUGAAGUUGGAAUCGCUAGUAAUCGCGGAUCCGCAUGCCGCGGUGAAUACGUUCUCGGGCCUUGUACACACCGCCCGUCACACCAUGGGAGUUGAUCCCACCUGAAGUCGUGACUCCAACCUGCAAAGGAGGAGAGCGCCCACGGUGGGGUUAAUGACUGGGGUGAAGUCGUAACAAGGUA